CUCUCACAUAUGGGGAGGGAUUACCAGGGGAGGAAGGGGAAUCCCAGGACCGAACCAUUUAACAGAUAAGAAAAACCUCUGCCUUGGAGAAGGAGGAACAAGUAAGAGUGGAUGAUGUUUCUUCAUGUGGAAUCAUAGCUAACACCUCUGAAAGGCCUUGUACCUCAGAGAUGUUGGGGAACUACAAGACAAAAGGAGCCAAACAUCUUCAGACAGAGCAGGUACUUCAAUCCAGCAGGGAUCAUUCCUUCAGGCACAGAGCUGUGCUAAUAUGAUUGCACGUCUUCCUGCUGGAGCUAGUCCACACCUAGGUGAUCUGGAGUGAUAGCAAGCAACUGUCUGCAACUGCCUUCCCAGCUCCCUCCCUUCCUCUGUGAUCCUGUGCUCAGGGCUCUCAUCUGACAAAUGAAAGGUACAAGGAAUACCACUGGCUCAUCAACUUUUACAUGUAAAAGGAAACUGUCAGACAAAAACACUCUAAAAGAU